CUUCAGUCUGUAUUCUAGUUGAUCCGAAUGUCUGUCGCGCAUGCCUAAGGGCAACCAGAGCGUGGAAAGCCUGUCAUCGUGGAACGCGGUAGCUCGCGCCAAGCGGGGACCAGACCUGAACGUACCACGGCGAAAGUCGACGUACUCUCCGCCCCUCCCUUCUUGUACAAUAGUAUUCCUUGAACCUGUGGACUACAUUUCCCAAGAUACAACGCGCGCGGCGGCACCUAUUUAUUUUUCGCACGCCGCGAAGUGCAAUCACCUCUGGGGUAGCGAAUUUGAGAGGAAGGAGAGUACGUUAAUUAAGUGCGCGAGCGCGCAGAAGCUGCUCGGCUGCAAUUUCAAAUCCCACUUCCGCUAACUGAUAGCGCCUUCUGACUGUUACCGUCUCAGACCUGCGGUUUCUUCUUCUGUAAAAUGGGGAUGACAAGUAGUUCAGACUCCAGAGAGAGUCAUUGGCAGGAUUAAAUAGGUGUAGUUCCGCACA